UAGGGAAUCUUCCACAAUGGACGAAAGUCUGAUGGAGCAACGCCGCGUGAGUGAAGAAGGGUUUCGGCUCGUAAAGCUCUGUUGGUAGUGAAGAAAGAUAGAGGUAGUAACUGGCCUUUAUUUGACGGUAAUUACUUAGAAAGUCACGGCUAACUACGUGCCAGCAGCCGCGGUAAUACGUAGGUGGCAAGCGUUGUCCGGAUUUAUUGGGCGUAAAGCGAGUGCAGGCGGUUCAAUAAGUCUGAUGUGAAAGCCUUCGGCUCAACCGGAGAAUUGCAUCAGAAACUGUUGAACUUGAGUGCAGAAGAGGAGAGUGGAACUCCAUGUGUAGCGGUGGAAUGCGUAGAUAUAUGGAAGAACACCAGUGGCGAAGGCGGCUCUCUGGUCUGCAACUGACGCUGAGGCUCGAAAGCAUGGGUAGCGAACAGGAUUAGAUACCCUGGUAGUCCAUGCCGUAAACGAUGAGUGCUAAGUGUUGGGAGGUUUCCGCCUCUCAGUGCUGCAGCUAACGCAUUAAGCACUCCGCCUGGGGAGUACGACCGCAAGGUUG
rnacentral:rRNA from 1 species